rnacentral:rRNA from 1 species
AUGUUUGAAGCAGACAAAGCAAACAGGGUGGGGAUCUCGUCAGGAGAUUCCUCGCAGCCUCAGCCACAAGAGAUCAUCACCGUUGACAAUCAACGCCCACACAUGUCGGUUGAUGAUUUGCUCAAGGCAAUAAAAGGAGCCAACGGCAUGCCGGUGUUGUUCGUCCCCUCCAGCGACGGCCGGCUGGCGGCAGUAGCCAUGGACGGCCUCCAUCAGAAUCUGGUGCCCACCUACUCCAUUUCCGAAAAGAAGAACCAACAGGAUUUCCGGGCCUGGCUGCUGCUCCUCACGUCACUGGUCGCUACCGUCACCUUCACCGCAGGGCUCGCCCCGCCCGGCGGCUUCUGGGACGCCGACGACAGGGCAAACAGGCACAUCGCCGACACCUCGAUCAUGCGCGAUAAGUUCCCCCGCAUGUACUUGGUCUUCUACUACAGCAACACCACCGCUUUCUUCACGUCCCUGAUGAUCAUCGGCAUGCUCGCCAAGAACGUGUACAACAAGGAGACCGUAGUCCUAAAGAACCGUUUCUUCGUAGCCCUUGUCGGCCUCUGCUUCAUGACCUUGGGGACUAGCUACAUCACCGGCACCUGGGUCAGCCCCAGGGGAGGGGUCUACAACAUCGUCAUGUUUGUGGUAGUCAUUUGCUACAUGACCAUGCACUGGGUUCUGGACUUCAUAGUCUGGAUGCAACGCCGUGCUACAUGA